rnacentral:rRNA from 1 species
GAUGAACGCUGGCGGCGUGCUUAGCACAUGCAAGUCGAACGAUGAAGCCCAGCUUGCUGGGUGGAUUAGUGGCGAACGGGUGAGUAACACGUGAGCAACCUGCCCCUGACUCUGGGAUAAGCGCUGGAAACGGCGUCUAAUACCGAAUACGACCAGUCCUUGCAUGAGGUGCUGGUGGAAAGUCUUUUCGGUGAAGGAUG